AGAACGAACGCUGGCGGCAGGCCUAACACAUGCAAGUCGAGCGCUGUAGCAAUACAGAGCGGCGCACGGGAGAGUAAUACAUGGGAACCUACCUUUUGGUUCGGAAUAACGUCGGGAAACUGACGCUAAUACCGGAUAAGCCCUUCGGGGGAAAGUUUUUCGCCGAUAGAUGGGCCCAUGUUGGAUUAGCUAGUUGGUGAGGUAACGGCUCACCAAGGCUACGAUCCAUAGCGGGUCUGAGAGGAUGAUCCGCCUCACUGGGACUGAGACACGGCCCAGACUCCUACGGGAGGCAGCAGUGGGGAAUAUUGGACAAUGGGGGCAACCCUGAUCCAGCCAUGCCGCGUGAGUGAUGAAGGCCUUCGGGUUGUAAAGCUCUUUGCAGGGGACGAUGAUGACGGUACCUGAGAAUAAGCCCCGCUAACUUCGCGCCAGCAGCCGC
rnacentral:rRNA from 1 species